rnacentral:rRNA from 1 species
ACUCCUACGGGAGGCAGCAGUGGGGAAUAUUGGACAAUGGGGGCAACCCUGAUCCAGCUAUCCCGCGUGCAGGAUGACGGCCCUAUGGGUUGUAAACUGCUUUUAUACAGGAAGAAACGCUUUCAUUUAUGAGAGCCUGACGGUACUGUACGAAUAAGCACCGGCUAACUCCGUGCCAGCAGCCGCGGUAAUACGGAGGGUGCGAGCGUUAAUCGGAAUUACUGGGCGUAAAGCGCGUGUAGGUGGCUUGUUAAGCCAGAUGUGAAAGCCCCGGGCUCAACCUGGGAACUGCAUUUGGAACUGGCAGGCUAGAGUUUUGUAGAGGGUGGUAGAAUUUCAGGUGUAGCGGUGAAAUGCGUAGAGAUCUGAAGGAAUACCGGUGGCGAAGGCGACCACCUGGCCAAUAACUGACACUGAGACGCGAAGGCGUGGGUAGCAAACGGGAUUAGAUACCCUGGUAGGCUCUGCU